CACUAGUAUAAAUGGUGAAUCAGUUAAGGGGGAGCUUCACCCCAAUCGUACUUCAAAAUGGACAAAACUUUAACAAUUGUUAGGAGGCAUAUUUUUAAGCAAAAUAUGCAUAAACUAUAUAUUUUUAGAAACUAGAGAUCUUCAGCUAUCAGCUGAGACAAAAAAUUGUCCAGUUCGGUGUAUCGGACUGAAAUUUGACACCAAAGAAGCGAGUAGUAUAUGGAAAACUGGAUUUUACAAGCCACUUUUGCCCCCCCAUAAAAUUUCACAUAAUAUGUGAUGUAUCUAAGUGAAAAUGCACCUUGUGGUAGCUAAGAUAUUGAACUAUGCUCCUAUGAGCCAUUUUUUUGUAAUUCACCAUGGUUGCUAUGGUAACGGAUAAAACAGAUUGCAUAUACACUUUUCACUAUAAAUCCUGUUAGAAAAUAAAUAUCAAAAAAAUGGCUCAUAGUUGCAUUCUACAUACCUUAAACUACAUCUGUGCCAAAAAUGGGAAAUUUUCAUUAAAACAGUAACAAGAAAAGCUAGGGGGGCAGUUGACGUGCGGCCAAAUAUCACAUUUUGAGAAAUAGACAGUUAAAGUUUAAUUUCCGUUGGAACUUGUUGUUUGAGUGUUAUAAGAGUGUUUGAGGCUCUAUUUUUUUCUUGGCAGCUUGCUUUUGCCCUUUUUACCACUACUUUUCCUUGUCGGCCUCUUUCUCUUAGGUUGAACCACUAAAACAAUC